ACUCACUCAAGUUACUGGUUUCCGUUUUCAAACGUUUAGCUAUUUGUUUUAUUUGAAAUUUUAUAAUUAGUAUUUUUGUUGUUAUUAUACGAUAGAACAUGAACAUUACUGAUAACUUAUUUUUUAAUUUUCUUAUAAAUUUUUAAAAUAAGACUUACCGUUAAACUUUGAACAUAGAAAUCCACGACUACACUUAAA
rnacentral:pre_miRNA from 1 species